rnacentral:rRNA from 1 species
GAUGAACGCUGGCGGCGUGCCUAAUACAUGCAAGUCGAGCGAACAGACGAGGAGCUUGCUCCUCUGACGUUAGCGGCGGACGGGUGAGUAACACGUGGAUAACCUACCUAUAAGACUGGGAUAACUUCGGGAAACCGGAGCUAAUACCGGAUAAUAUAUUGAACCGCAUGGUUCAAUAGUGAAAGACGGUUUUGCUGUCACUUAUAGAUGGAUCCGCGCCGCAUUAGCUAGUUGGUAAGGUAACGGCUUACCAAGGCAACGAUGCGUAGCCGACCUGAGAGGGUGAUCGGCCACACUGGAACUGAGACACGGUCCAGAUUCCUAAGGGAGGCAGCAGUAGGGAAUCUUCCGCAAAGGGCGAAAGCCUGACGGAGCAACGCCGCGUGAGUGAUGAAGGUCUUCGGAUCGUAAAACUCUGUUAUUAGGGAAGAACAAAUGUGUAAGUAACUAUGCACGUCUUGACGGUACCUAAUCAGAAAGCCACGGCUAACUACGUG